rnacentral:rRNA from 1 species
CCUACGGGAGGCAGCAGUGGGGAAUAUUGGACAAUGGGCGAAAGCCUGAUCCAGCCAUGCCGCGUGUGUGAAGAAGGCCUUCGGGUUGUAAAGCACUUUCAGUGGGGAAGAAAGCCUUGGGGCUAAUACCCUCGAGGAAGGACAUCACCCACAGAAGAAGCACCGGCUAACUCCGUGCCAGUAGCCGCGGUAAUACGGAGGGUGCGAGCGUUAAUCGGAAUUACUGGGCGUAAAGCGCGCGUAGGCGGUCUGAUAAGCCGGUUGUGAAAGCCCCGGGCUCAACCUGGGAACGGCAUCCGGAACUGUCAGGCUAGAGUGCAGGAGAGGAAGGUAGAAUUCCCGGUGUAGCAGUGAAAUGCGUAGAGAUCGGGAGGAAUACCAGUGGCGAAGGCGGCCUUCUGGACUGACACUGACGCUGAGGUGCGAAAGCGUGGGUAGCAAACAGGAUUAGAUACCCGAGUAGUC